GAUGAAGAACGUAGCGAAAUGCGAUACUUGGUGUGAAUUGCAGAAUCCCGUGAACCAUCGAGUCUUUGAACGCAAGUUGCGCCCGAAGCCUUUAGGCCAAGGGCACGUCUGCCUGGGCGUCACGCAUCGCGUCGCCUCCAAUCCUCUCUUAUAUUG
rnacentral:rRNA from 1 species